rnacentral:rRNA from 1 species
UACGUGGGGUGCAAGCGUUGUCCGGAAUUAUUGGGCGUAAAGAGCUCGUAGGCGGUCUGUCGCGUCGGCUGUGAAAACCCGGAGCUCAACUCCGGGCCUGCAGUCGAUACGGGCAGACUGGAGUUCGGCAGGGGAGACUGGAAUUCCUGGUGUAGCGGUGAAAUGCGCAGAUAUCAGGAGGAACACCGGUGGCGAAGGCGGGUCUCUGGGCCGAUAUUGACGCUGAGGAGCGAAAGCGUGGGGAGCGAACAGG